rfam:Anolis carolinensis chromosome 4, whole genome shotgun sequence.
CCAGACAGCCUAAAUCCUCUUAAAGUCCCAGAUCUCAUCUGAUCUUAGAAACUAAGCAGGGUCAGCCUUGAUCAGUACUUGGAUGGAAGACUGUCAACAAAUAGCAAGUUCUGUUGGUU